rnacentral:lncRNA from 10 species
AUUUUGAUUGGUGUUGGGUGUAUUUUCCAGUGAGAGACCGCGGAGUGUUGGGUCGUGUAGAAGUGACUGAACCCAGAAGGUGGAGACGAGACGUUGUCCCGACUGCACAGAGGCUGCUCUGCAGCUCCUUAAAGGCGCUAGGCGUGACCCGCACCAAGGCCGGGAUCGGGACCACCGUGCCCGGGUACCUGCACUGCUCGCCCCCUCCUUUCGACCCCGCUUUCCCCACCCAGUCGGAUGGCGGCGGCCGCGCUGAGGCCCCCGGCUCAGAGAUGUGAUUUCACCAUAUUGGCCAGGCUGGUCUCGAACUCCUGACCUCAUGAUCCACCUGCCUCAGCCUCCCAAAGUGCUAGGAUUACAGGUGUGAACCACCAUGCCCAUCCAGGACUGCUCUUUAAAUGGCAAUGGUAUUAGGUGAAUGGAAGUUGGUCCGUGUUGCUGAAGGGGCACUGUGACCUUUGAAGAUGUGGCUGUGAACUUUUCCCAGGAGGAAUGGAGUCUCCUUA